AACGCAGACGAUAAUUUCGCGAUAGCAGCCUAGUUGCUGCUCGUCCCUCUUAGUCCUCCUGCCGACUAAGACUGGACGUCAUUAUGCAGGGAACUACUUUAGGGGUGUCUCGACUUAAAGUAGAUUAAUUGGGACUGGCUAAGCAUAGAGCCUGCCACUUGGCGCUAUGUGAGGUGAGAUAUUAGUGAAGUUGGCUAAGCAUGUAGAUGCAGCAAGGAAAAGAUUUGCGGACAGGGGUUCGACUCCCCUCGUCUCCACCA
rnacentral:tmRNA from 1 species